UGGACCAACAAUGAUCACUGGUGCAUUGUGGGGCAUAUGAGCUGAAAGGUAUCUGGAAGUCUGACAUCCAA